GGAUGAGCCCCGGGCUCACUGACGGCACUGCUGGAGCAGGCCCACACACCCAGAGAAUCCCAGGCUUGCCUGCUGCUCCUGGCGAUCCCUGCCCCGGCCUACCGCUGAGGUGGAAAGCACCUUGCUCCACCGAGGUAUUAGCCUAUGAUUGAGCUUCACAGACAGAAAGAUGUUUUAACACAUCUUUUAUAGAAACCAACAGGGGAACUCUGUGGACUGGUAGCAAAAAUUGGAAAUCUUGUCUUGUGGAAUUGUCGGUGCUAGAGUUAACAUAGGAACCCAGCCUCUUUUCUGUGAGGACUUAAGUUUCCAGCACCUGAAGACAGACUGAAGGAGGAAACCCACAGAACAGGCUCCAUCUUGAAAGCAGGACUCUAUCUUGGGCUGGACUAUGGACUUUGAUCUAUAUGCCCAGUAUCUAUGGAAAUGACAUACCAACUGGAAAACCAUACUCCCGGAUUGAAGAGCCCCAGGGCUCAUACCUAGACUCUCCGUCACCUAAAAGAAUACCCUAAUUAUCUGUGUAACCAAAUAGAAUCAUAAAUUCUAUUAUGCUUAUUGGGGUAUGAGCACAGGCCUAUUGAUAAUUGUCCACUGUUAACUACCUAGGCCAAAGGCGCAUGAAUCAUGGGUAAUCUUUGACUGUAUCUUUCUUUUCCUUUGUUCAGACUAGUUUCAGGGAAUUUGGGGAGGUGG